rnacentral:rRNA from 1 species
GAUGAACGCUGGCGGCGUGCCUAAUACAUGCAAGUCGAGCGAACAGACGAGGAGCUUGCUCCUCUGACGUUAGCGGCGGACGGGUGAGUAACACGUGGAUAACCUACCUAUAAGACUGGGAUAACUUCGGGAAACCGGAGCUAAUACCGGAUAAUAUAUUGAACCGCAUGGUUCAAUAGUGAAAGACGGUUUUGCUGUCACUUAUAGAUGGAUCCGCGCCGCAUUAGCUAGUUGGUAAGGUAACGGCUUACCAAGGCGACGAUGCGUAGCCGACCUGAGAGGGUGAUCGGCCACACUGGAACUGGGCCACGGUCCAGACUCCUACGGGAGGCAGCAGUAGGGAAUCUUCCGCAUUGGGCGAAAGCCUGACGGAGCAACGCCGCGUGAGUGAUGAAGGUCUUCGGAUCGUAAAACUCUGUUAUUAGGGAAGAACAAAUGUGUAAGUAACUAUGCACGUCUUGACGGUACCUAAUCAGAAAGCCACGGCUAACUACGUG